GGUUAAGCGACUAAGCGUACACGGUGGAUGCCCUGGCAGUCAGAGGCGAUGAAGGGCGUGCUAAUCUGCGAUAAGCGCCGGUAAGGUGAUAUGAACCGUUAUAACCGGCGAUACCCGAAUGGGGAAACCCAGUGUGUUUCGACACACUAUCAUUAACUGAAUCCAUAGGUUAAUGAGGCGAACCGGGGGAACUGAAACAUCUAAGUACCCCGAGGAAAAGAAAUCAACCGAGAUUCCCCCAGUAGCGGCGAGCGAACGGGGAGGAGCCCAGAGCCUGAAUCAGCAUGUGUGUUAGUGGAAGCGUCUGGAAAGGCGCGCGAUACAGGGUGACAGCCCCGUACACAAAAGCGCAUGUGCUGUGAGCUCGAUGAGUAGGGCGGGACACGUGGUAUCCUGUCUGAAUAUGGGGGGACCAUCCUCCAAGGCUAAAUACUCCUGACUGACCGAUAGUGAACCAGUACCGUGAGGGAAAGGCGAAAAGAACCCCGGCGAGGGGAGUGAAAAAGAACCUGAAACCGUGUACGUACAAGCAGUGGGAGCCCCACCACCAAAGCAUUCUCUGGUGUUGAAGGCCCUGCAAAGCAGCAUCGCGGUGGCGGAGCGUCGUUUGCGACGCCCAACACACAAAACAAGCGGUGAGUGCUUUGGGGUGGGGUGACUGCGUACCUUUUGUAUAAUGGGUCAGCGACUUAUAUUCUGUAGCAAGGUUAACCG
rnacentral:rRNA from 1 species